rnacentral:rRNA from 1 species
UCCUUAGAUGUUCUGGGCUGCACGCGCGCUACACUGGUGCAUCCAACAAGUUUUUUCCUUGUUCGAGAGGACUAGGUAAUCUUAUGAGAAUGCAUCGUGAUGGGGAUAGAUUAUUGCAAUUAUUAACCUUCAACGAGGAAUUCCUAGUAAGCGCGAGUCAUCAGCUCGUGCUGAUUACGUCCCUGCCCUUUGUACACACCGCCCGUCGCUGCAACUGAUUGGGUGACCUGGUGAACAUCUUGGACCGGCCCACUCAAUUUCGAGAGGACUGGAAAAGGCCGUAAAUCAGGUACAUCUAGAAAUUGCAAAAGUCGUAACA